rnacentral:rRNA from 1 species
AUUGAACGCUGGCGGCAGGCCUAACACAUGCAAGUCGAGCGAGCGGCGGACGGGUGAGUAAUGUCUGGGAAACUGCCUGAUGGAGGGGGAUAACUACUGGACACGGUAGCUAAUACCGCAUACCAUCAGAUGUGCCCAGGUGGGAUUAGCUGGUUGGGGGGGUAACGGCUCACCUAGGCGACGAUCCCUAGCUGGUCUGAGAGGAUGACCAGCCAAACUGGAACUGAGACACGGUCCAAACUCCUACGGGAGGGAGCAGUGGGGAAUAUGGCACAAUGGGCGCAAGCCUGAGGCAGCCAUGCCGCGUGUGUGAAGAAGGCCUUCGGGUUGUAAAGCACUUUCAGCGAGGAGGCGUUACCCGCAGAAGAAGCACCGGCUAACUCCGUGCCAGCAGCCGCGGUAAUAC